CUAAGCUCAAUGAUACAGCAAGCGAGAGGACAUAUAAUCAGCCGGAACGCCGCUUCAUCCGUCAAGGUCGUGUGGCAGCCGGACCUUCGGUGGCUAACAUUGUCGACAUUUUCCGGAACUGUGCCAAACCCAAAGGCGUAUAAGCUCCAUACCGUGGAAUAAGUGCUUAAUGUACGAACUUUGAGAGUACAAAAGGUUGAUUAUUUCUGUGCUGUCAGUGGGAGUGACC
rnacentral:lncRNA from 1 species